rnacentral:lncRNA from 1 species
UCCGGACAAAUCAAAUUCAUAUUCAACUAAGCUUACAAAACUCUAUGUACUUCACUGUGAAUAGCCCAUAAUCAGAUCUACAAAAUAAAAAGAAAUAAAAUUAGAUGGAAAUGACAACAUGAAGUCAGUCAUAUAUGUUGGUGCUAAGUGUUAGAUUAUACUAAACUAACUCAUUUGUUUGUUCAAGAACUACAACUCUCUGAUAGUGGAAUGUGUAGGUGAAAAUUUUCUUCAUACGCUAUGUGUACCUUUAUCAACAGGGAACGACCACUUGAAUAAGCUUCAUAAAUUCGACCAUUUGAGCAGCAUUGAUGUGUUUUGGCAAACUAUCAUAAAUAUAAAUGGUUCGCUCCAUCAAAUCGAUCUUAAAAGCAAACCAGUAAGAACCCGAUGCACAGUAAGUUACAUACAAAAAUCUACAAUUACUCCAGUGUUCAACAAGCACUGGAGAAGUCCCUUCAACAUAAUCGACGAGCUCUUGGUUGAAUAUGUAGUUACCAUUUUUCUUCUCGAGCAUACUCAUUUUUAGGUAGGCUUUCUUGACAAGUUGUCAAAAAUAACAAUCCAAUAUGGUACAAUGUCGUUGAAAUACAUAUGGAUAUGUCACUGCCCUUUUCCUAAUAUGGAAUAAGGUUGAGCUGCAUGACAAAACAUGAUUAAUUAAAUACAUUAUUUCUAUAGUAAUAAUUCUGAUAUAUGAAUAUUACUUAGAUCAUCAAUAAGCCAUCUGUCAUUUUUUAAUAGUAAAUCGAAAAAUUUUCUUCGCACUUUACAGAUAUCCAAAGAUGCUACAUCACUGUGACAACAAUGAUAUCAGACUAACCUGACAUGUAAAUCGAAAAUUAUGCGCUUCAAUGUGCCAACCGCUUGAAUAGAAUAAAUUACCUUUGCGAUAUAUUUGCUAACCACUUGUUGAUGUCUUCAAACUUUUGCAGGAUCUCAUAUACCUGAAUGUUCAAUAAUUUUUGCCUCUUUAAGGGACUAGUGUAUGGAGAAAGCAGCACCACUUCUCCUCUUAACUCGAUGCCCCCUUCCAACAGUCGAUUUAGAAUUCGGAUCGUCGACCACAAUGAUUUCAUUACUAGGUUGGCAAACAUGUGAAAAUAUCAAAUACUCUCCAGUAAUGUCUACAAAAGUUAAGCAAACGCAAAUCAAUCUAUUUUAACACACAAAAUUGAAAAGUAAAAUAUUGAUUUGUAUAUUAUAUAUAACUUUGUUAAAUAUGUUUAAGGGCCCGUUUGGUAGGGAUUUUGAGAAUUGAUUUUUUGACCGUUAGAAGAAAAGUGGGGUCCAUUUGUGAGAGAAGAAGUCAAAAAUUACGGCUUGAAUAGUAAAAUAACGGUCAAAAAAUCAAUUUUUUGGGGCAAAAAAUCCCUAC